ensembl:snRNA U2 U2 spliceosomal RNA
AUUGCUUCUCAGCCUUUUGGCUAAGAUCAAGUGUAGUAUCUCUUCUUAUCAGUUUAAUAUCUAUAUGCAUCCCCUACCCAAAAGGUUAAAACUACAGGGUAAGAAAUUCUGACUUACAUCUACUCUGAAUCACUUACAGAAAGG